AUGUUAAUUUUUCACCUCAAUUUCGAGUGCCUUGGAGUGAUUCGUGUUUAUACCCCAGCAUAUAUUUUUUUGCAGUAUAUGUGUGUGGUUUUAGAGGAUAAUCACGAGCUGAUGAACUCACACAGACCUCAUGGGUGCGAGGACAAUGGUGCGCAGGAGGCUGCAGUGAAGCUCUCGGGAAACACGCAAACCCGUCCACUCCACCGCCAGAGACGUGACGAGACACAGGACGAUUCCCAGAGCACACAGACCGCAGAAAACCUGCAGUUCCUCUCGGCGCUCUCGAUCUGCGCUGCGAUGACGCGGGACGUCCAGUGCGCAAGCCAGAAGUCGAUGGCGACCAUCAGCGAGUGUUUGGUGAGCUGCGAGAGGACGAGCAGCGGCAGCAGCAGCAGACCCGCGGCGCGCAGGCUGCAUGCUAUUCAUCAGAGUAUUCAUGCCGUCGAGUCCAGACCUUUGACUUCACUAACAGUGAGAUCAGCAGCUGGAUGAAGUCCACACACGGGAAGCCAUCAUAGAUAUGAAGACAAGAACAUCAGAGUCACACUGCAGCACUGAAGACAAACGCACAGCAUCACAGAUACGACGACGUAUCGCAACUGUUACAGGACAACCACCUGCCAGGUGCUAUACAGCAUAACCCUGUAUGGUUAACAUUUCUAUUAGACAUGUACAAUAUAUAUGCAAGCACUGACACUGAGUUUCGUGUUUGGAUGAAGGAGAUGUUUUACCUUCAUCCUCAUCCUCGGUGGCCAGAGUAUCUGUAGAGUACAUGGGCCGCCUGAAACUCUUCCUCUUCAGUUCUGUGGUGUUCUCCUGUGGAAAUGUUGCGAUACUGCAUUAGUCAAAUAUAGCCCUAACAAAUUAUGAAAAUAAAUACAUUUUUUUUAAUUUAUUCAUUUUUUGUAUUAUUAUUUUAAAAGUAACAUCAUAGCAAAGAUAUAUGCUUAUCAAUAAAUUAUUUAAUUUAAACUUUUUUAUUUAUUUAUUUAUUUAUUUAUUUUAGAAGUAUAUAUAUAUAUAUAUAUACAGUAUAUGUAAAUUUAUUUUACAAGAUCAUCAUAUCAAGGAAAGAUUUUUUUUUUAUAAAUACAUAAAUAUUUUUUAAAUACAUUUAUUUAUUUAUUUUAAAAUAACAUCUAUCAAACAAUUAUUUUUACAAAUAAAUAAAUCAAAUUAAAUAUUUAUUUAUUAAUUUAUUUUAUUUUAGAUUAACAUUACUUCAAAUAAAGUUUUUUUUUUUUUUUUACUUUGUCCUGUCUGUUCAUCAGGGUUCUCCACUGUUCAAACAGUUCAGGUUCGGUUUAUUUUAACAAAUAAAUAAUACUAAAUUAAUAUUUAUUUAUUAAUUUAUUUUAUUUAGAUUAACAUUACUUCAAUUAGUUUUUUUUUUUUUACUUUGUCCUGUCUGUUCAUCAGGGUUCUCCACUGUUCAAACAGUUCAGGUUCGGCACACUGGAUGUCCUUUAAGGUCCCUUGUGUCUGCACCGUCCCAUCCCGCAUGGCUAUAAUCUACAGGACCCAUAUAAUGAAAGCACAUUUUACAAGACUAGCAAACAAAUGGCAUGAGUUUGAUCCCUAGCCUAGCAUGUUUCUGAAUCCAGAAAUGUGACGGCCAGCAUUAAAAGACAGAUCCUGCCAGUCACUGAAGGAGAAUCUGCAGCACAGCUACUCUUACGUAACAGCACAUCCUCAUGCACGAGCUGUGAUGUGUGUUUGCCACUGACAGCACCGGGAAUCCCAUUGAGAUGCCACGGUUUUCUCCCGCUCGGCUCUUUGUAAGGCAGAUAAAAGCACUUUGCUGUGGCCUCUGGGACAGCAGCAGGAUAAUUGUGUUUGUGCAGAGUCGUGUGUGGAGCGUCUCAUCCGCACGCAUCUCUCACACGACUGAACACGCGGCAAUCAGGACAGAGAAGGCUCACGUCUGGGAAUCACGGGGCCAUUUACCUCUUCUCAUUGGGGGCCAUGUCAAACAAGAUGUUCUCCUCCACCGUAGCGUUUAAGAGCCACGGCCUCUGGGAAGCGUACGCCACCGAACCUCUCUUCCUGAAAACACAAGCUGUGAGGAUACUGUGCAGCUGAUAAAGUAUAAAACAUAAGUAUAAAUAAUCAUUUAAUUACUUGAGAGACUGUCUUCCACUCAUAUACUGGGCUCUGUAAGACAAAAAAGGUAAAUGAUUGUAAUGAAUAAAUACAGAAAUGUUAUAUGUGUGUGUGUGUGUGUGUGUGUGUGUGUGUGUGUGUGUGUGUGUGUGUGUGUGUGUGUGUGUGUGUGUGUGCGCGUGUGUGUGUGUCGUGACGUGUGUGUGUGUGUGUGUGUGUGUGUGUGCGCGUGCGUGUGUGUGUGCAAUACAUACCUCACUAUUUUCUUCAGAAUCACUCUUGGGUAAACUGUGAGAAAAUCAAGCAGUAUUAAUAUGAGAUCUGAUUGCUAUCCAAUCCAGUAUUUAAAAAUACAAAAUGUAAUGUAAAAAGUGAAAAAUUGUAUUAAAAUAAAAACAGAUUAUAAAAUACAUAGAUGCUGAUUGGUCAAUACAGUGUUCCAGCCAUAGUUAUAGUUAUUUUAGUAUUAAUGUUUAUAUUUUAUAAAUAUUACAUUUAUAAAUAUAUUAAAGAUUUUAUAAAAUAAAAUUAUUAUUUUUUUUAUUAUUAUUUAUACAUUAUUACAGUUUUUUAUUAAAAAAUGUAUUAUUUUUAUAUUAAUUUUUGUUUUAUUUCUAGUGCACUAUUUUGUUAAUUUUGUCAUUUUAAUUAGUUUUUUUUUAUAUUACUAUUUAGGUUUUAUUUAUUUUUAUUUCAGUUUCAGUUUAAGCUUUUAUUUAUUUAUGUUGUAAUUUAUUUACUAUUCCAUUUAUUUAUUUAUUUGUAAUGCAAGUGCUUAAACAAACUUAUUUCCAUUUAGUUUUUAUUGCCUAAUUUUCAAUUAAUUAAUUAAUUAAUUUUGUUUUUAUGUAUAGUUUAUUUUAGCAUAAUCUAUAUUAACAAAAAACAUUUAUUUUUGGUUAACAAUAAUAACCAUGAAAUAAACAAGCUGAAAGAUCUCUAAUAAUCUUAUAGUAUAAUACAGCAUUAUGUUGAUUUUUACUUGUUCCAUGUGAUGUUUCCAGAAAUCUUCUGCAUCUCUCCCAGUGCUGCCAGCAAAAGAGAGGAUUUCCCACAUCCCACCUGGCCUACGAUCAUCGUCAGCUGACCUGACAGAUCACGCAGAGUCAGAGGAAACACACUCAGUGCUUCAGUAAAAUAUGCUGGUUCAGCACUACAGCAACUGUGAGACAAUCCUCACCGAAAGGAACCUUUAUGUCGAUAUUGGAGAGAGUUGGGCACCCCUGCGUCCAUGUGAAGUAGCCGUUCACAAUCUAGACAGUUUAAUACGCAGAAAACUAUACUAAGUAAUUUGAUUAUUAAAAAAUCAACAUCAACAGAAUCUAUGCAUGUUCUAGACAUUCAAUAUUUAAAACAUUCAGUAUUCAAUAAAGCAUGAAUAAUAUGAAUAGAACCUUUAUGCACACGUCCUCGUCCUGAUUGGCUGAUGCCGUCAGCUCCUGGUCCUGCUGCUCAAAGUUCCUGUUCACGUCCUGCUUGGCUUUAUUCUUACGAUUCACGAGUUUGGCCUGGAGCUGUAAUGCAUACUGAGGCCACAGAACCAAAACUCUUCAUUCAUGCAAUGCAGGAAAUAUUACAAUAAAAAACUAACAAUAAUAAUAAUAAUAAUAAUAAUAAUAAUAAUAAUAAUAAUAAUAAUAAUAAUAAUAAUAAUAAUAAUUAAUUAUUAUGAUUUUAUUAUUAUUAUUAUUAUUAUUAAUAAUUAAAUGAAAAUAUGCAAAUUACUGACUAAAAACAUUUCAGAUAUGAAAAA
rnacentral:lncRNA from 1 species